CUGGAUGACAUUCACCUUGAAAUGUUUGGCAUCCUUUGGCGGGCCUGCUUAUAUUAUGUGAGGGUGCAUCAUGAGUGUUAUGCAAAACUGCCAUUGUGUCAUUUGUCAAGCCAGAAAGAAUAGCCGACGAGGGAUGUCGCACUGCGCGGGCACCUGCAGGGCCACGCUUGUAAGUAAUCAAGACACAAAGCGUGGCGACUCCUUCACUGAUUUGUGUGUCAGCAGGAAGCGGCGUCGAGGGCCACGAGGUGGCCCGCUUGUGAGUAAAUGUCACACGGGGGGCGGCGGGCGACGAGUAGCGGCGUCCCCUCAAGUAGCCCAGCUGCAGCUCUCACCUCUGGGUCAUUAAUUCUCACGCCGAGCUCGUAAUUAGGACUCCUCGCGGUCACCGAGACACAUUCUGCAUCGGGAUACAUUUACCGAGCUGUCAUUCUCAUGACACAGGGCCGGCCGGGCCAGGAUGGAUCAGCCGGCGCCACACGGUAUUGAUGUCACCUCGCCAUGGAGACUCCGCCCCGAGACACACCCUACUAUGUCCAUCCGACCUGAACUUAAAAUCUCAGGCAUCGCCGCUGUUCAUUGUCCUUGAUACGUUCCAGCGGGUGCUAAAUGACACCCAUCCUGUCCAGUAACGCACUCCUUCACGAGACAGCCAUUCGAUUGGAGGGAUGACACGUGGCGUGACCUCACCGAGGAUCAACGGACAGCUAAUAGAUGGAGACGCAAUUCAGCGAGGACGAGACGUUUGCCGCUGCCAAUACGACAAAGGCGGCGUCGGCGGCCGCCCAUCGAUCUCCCGCAGCCCGCGACCGAGACAGCUUCAAAAUUCAGCAAUAAUCGUGACAAACGAGGAGCGGCACCGCGGCCAGAAAAUCAUCAAUAAACGGCGGCGGAGACAAAAUGCCAAGGGCAAACAAAGAGCAAUUGGCAGCUCCCGACCACUUUUAAGACCGCGGCAUGAAUUCCCGUUGAAUUUGGUCCGCUGUGACAGUCGGUGGCAGAAGACUGUUGAAUUCCACUUGAUGAAUGUGAACAUCCACAGCAGGAAAUGGU